rnacentral:rRNA from 1 species
CCCUUAGAUGUUCUGGGCUGCACGCGUGCUACACUGAUAUUGCCAAUAUGUCAUUCUUAUCCGAAAUGGAUUGGGUAAUCAAGUAAUGAAAUUUCAUGCUUGGAAUCGGUAAUUGCAAUUUUAUCGUGAACGAGGAAUUCCUAGUAAGCACUAGUCAUCAGCUAAUGUUGAUUAUGUCCCUGCCCUUUGUACACACCGCCCGUCGCUACUACUGAUUGGGUGUUCAAGUGAGAUGCUUAGACCCUUGUUGCAUGGUACAUUAUUGUGCUCCGAAAGGAAAAAGUUUCAAGCUUGAGUGUCUAGAGGAAGUAAAAGUCGUAACA